UUGCGGCUCCUCGCAGGCGGCCUCCGCCUUCCUGAUCCUGCUCUAGGGUUUUGCGUUAGCUUGCGGACCUUGAGAGGAGUUAAAAGCAGUGAGACAUCAGGGACCGAGACUGCGGAUAGCUGAGGGACCUUUGUCUGAGGGACAGGCUCUUACCCUGCAGGAGUCUUAUGGCCUCUAGCCUGCUCUUAAACAGUUCUUUUUACCCCUGUUAUGCCCCCCUCCCGACUCUCUUUACUCAGUAUCUCUCUGGCCUUAAUGAAAGGAAACACAGCAAGAUGAGGUGCGCGAACUGUUGUUGCAUAACCAGAUGAGAAAACUGAGGUCAGAAAGAUAAACUGAGAAGCCCGUUCUGGAAGAGAAGUGCAAGUAUCUGAUGUCCAGGUGACCGUCCCCCAGUACCUGAUCCAGGACGUGGAGAGGACAGAAGAGGAGACUUGGAGGGAGCUGGAGAAGCUCCGGGCCCAGCUGCUGCCCUGCUCCAAGAAGGUGAACCAACAAGUCAAACUAUAACAACUGUCUCCAGUACAACACGGAUCUUCUUGUCAUUCUAUUCCACAGGCAGAAUGUGAUGAAAAGAAAAUGGCCUGUGGAUCUAGACAAACCUGGUUUCACAUCUGGAUCCACACGUAUUAGGUGUGUAAAUAUGGAUAAUAUAUUUCUAACUGGGUCUCAUGUAAAAAUAUCCAGAUUGCAAUGCUAUUUUGAGUUUUGAUGAGAUAGUUGAUAUUGUGGGGAUGAAAAAAAAAUAAUUUCCCUCCUUGGGUGCUAUGGCUCUACAGAACUCUCAUCACUUUAGUACUUAAAAUUUCAGGACUCG